rnacentral:misc_RNA from 1 species
CAAUGCAGGAUAUUUACUGCAGAAUUAUGUUAAAAUAUCUUGCAAAUUUACAAGUAUGGUGUAUACUUGUAUUAUUCGCCUCUACGUGAGGAAUUUUAGGAGGUAUAUUUAGAAGUAUGAUCGGUAAGGUAAAAUGGUUUAAUGCGGACAAAGGUUUCGGUUUUAUUGAGACAGAGGAAGGAAAAGACGUUUUCGUCCACUUCUCUUCCAUCCAGAGUGAUGGCUUUAAAACCCUUGACGAAGGCCAGAGCGUUGAGUUUGACAUCGUUCAGGGCAACCGCGGCCCACAGGCCUCAAAUGUGGUUAAAUUAUAGAAUAAAAGAAUUUCUUUUAAAUAUAAUUUAAACGCGCCAAGUAAAAGGCAGCCGAAAACGGCUGCCUUUUACU